rnacentral:lncRNA from 1 species
GAGACACACGUUGAAGUAUUUUGCGGUGAAAUGUUAUGAUGUCUGCAAGGAACUCUCAAAUGGUUGAAGAAAAAUGUGUAUGUCAGAUAAAGAGGGAAGAGAAAACAUUAUUUUUUCCUGUCCCUCAUUGCUUCUGGAUGACUCUCAACACUGAGAAGUAUAUACACUUGACCCACAGGUUUGAAAUGCUCUGCCACCCCCAAGACUGCAAGACCAACCCCUCCACUUCCUCCUCAUCCUUAACUUACCUAAAAUGAAGAUGAUGAGAAUGUACACCUUGAUGAUGAGCCAUUUCCACCUAAUAAAUAAAUUCAUUUUGUACAGAAUAGCACAAGUAUCUGCAUGAGAACUUUGACUAUACAUCCUCACUUCAAAGAUGAAAAUAAAGGUAAACCAUCUGGAAUUCAACUCAGUAGGUAUAUUUUUCACACAAAUGUGGGUAUAGUAAUUCUGAAAGUACUAUCCAUAUAUUGAGAGACUGACAAAAUGAGCAAAUGCAAUAAUGAUGUUAAAGGCUAUUAUUUUUACUGUUGGAAAAGGCAGAAACAGAUACUGAAUUUGGAAAAAGCAGGAAGAAUCCUGUAUUGUUAGAUUUGAAUUAGAUGUAUCUGUAUAAACUCAUGAUUUUUAGUAUACAUAUAUAUAGAUAGAUGGAUAAAAGAUAUAGAUGUAUCAGUAGAUAUUGAUGUGUAUAGUUGUAUAUGUGUUUGUAUGUGUACAUGAAUGCAUGCAUACAUCUAUUUCCUAAUAGAUCUAUACAUACAGGUCCCUACUGAGAUGACCUAGAAGCUGUAACAGUUCAUUAACAAUGAGCAUACUUACUGCUCUAAUCUUAAUUUCUAAAUGCUCUUCUCUAGUAAAGGGAGUCAGGACUCCUUAGAGAAACAGCUGACUCUAGGGCUGGGGCAGGUAAAUGAUAAGAUAAGCCUGUAAUAUGUUGUUAUGCCAGAAAUGAAGGAAGUUGCCAUAGAAUGGUUGGGGGCAUUUCCAAGGGGUCAAAAGUCAGGUUGCCACUCACAACCUGGGAUAACUUGAGCAUUAAAACUAACAAUAAUAGUGUUGAAUUAUAAGUCACUUAAUAAAAUAAAAAUUUAUGAGUUGAUACUGAUGGUAAAUAAAGAAAUAAAAAGAGAAGAAAAAACUUUCUUACAGAAGAGUGGCAACUAAUAAAUAUAGAAGGAUGACAGACUUGAAAAUCACCAUUUUGUAACUAUCAUAGGCAAGAAGCAUCCAAUGAAUAUAAACUAGUGAGUGCAAGGUUGAAAAGAAACAAGGUAUUACACAGUCUGAAAGUAUCUCUCUACAAAUUACUUAUUAAUUCAAUAAAGCUUAACCAAAUAGCACUGUGUGCAAUCUGACAUAAUGUGCCUCCUGAUAGGCUGCACUGAAAAGGAUAAAACAUCGCAUCUGUGAUAUUCCUGCCCAAAAUGCAUAACUGGAAUCUACUCAUGAGGGAACAUCAGACAAAUCCAAAUUGAGAGACAUUCUAUAAAAAUAUGGCCUGAACUAUUCCAAAAAUGACCAUGUUAUGAAAGACAAAGGCUGUAAACUGUUUCACCUUAAUGCAACUAAAUGUGCCAAAAUCUGCCAGACUAUAGGUUACAUAAUAAUGUGUACUAAAUUAAAUAUCCUGUUUGAUAACUAUACUAUAACGAUGUAAAAGAAUGUCCUGUUUUGGCGAGGCAUGGUGGCUCACGCCUGUAAUCCCAACACUUUGGGAGGCCAAGGCGGGCGAUCACGAGGUCAGGAGAUUGAGACCAUCCUGGCUAGCACGGUGAAACCCCAUCUCUACUAAAAAUACAAAAAAAAUUAGCCGGGCGUGGUGGCGGGCGCCUGUAGUCCCAGCUACUCGAGAGGCUGAGGCAGGAGAACAGCGUGAAUCUGGGAGGGGGAGCUUGCAGUAAGCCAAGAUCGUGCCACCGCACUCCAGCCUGGACGACAGAGCCAGACUCCAUAAAAAAAAAAAAA